rnacentral:tRNA from 1 species
GGAGAGAUGGCCGAGCGGUUGAAGGCACCGGUCUUGAAAACCGGAACGGGUACGCCCGUCGCAGGUUCAAAUCCUGUUCUCUCCGCCA